UGCAGAACACAUGAACUCGGGUGAGAGGGAAACAACCCAGGACAUCUCAGGAAACAAUAUUUUCACUACCAGAUUUACAAGCAGCUUCUUCUCACCAUCCUACUAUGAAGAGAGGAGUGAGCAACGAGCUGCAUGAGCUCUGUGGAAAUGCUGGCAUUGCGAUAUGGAGUCCAAAAAUGAGCUCACCAGCUCCCUAAUUUACCUCUCAUUGUGCCGUAGUUGAUUGAGAAAAACACUUAAACUGAUGCAUUUCAACUGCAGUCCUGCUUCUACACCCGUCAGCACGCUCAGUAAAUCAGUCAGCCUGCCCUCAUCUUCUGGAACCACCUUAGUUCAGCUCCAUAUAAAAGAGUUAUCCCUCAGCUCCCACCACUUCCUCCUGCAAUCUCUUCGAAGAACCUAAAGAAUAAUUUUUAUGUAAUAAAUCCAGAGAAUAAACAAACAAAUCAUUU